AUGGGCAGCCAGAUGCUGUGCUGCUUGGCUCUUUGUCUCCUGGGAGCAGGCACAGUGCAUAGUGGCGUCACUCAGACACCAAAAUACCUGCUCAGAGAGGAAGGACGAGAUGUGACCCUGGACUGUGAACAGAACUUGAAUCAUGACUCCAUGUACUGGUAUCGACAGGACCCAGGGCAAGGGCUGAGGCUGAUCUACUUUUCACGAAUUGUGAAGAAUGUUGAGCCGGGAGACCUGGCUGAGGGCUACCGUGCCUCUCGGGAGAAGAAGCCGCUCUUUCCCCUCACUGUGACAUCCACCCAAAAGAACCAGACAGCUGUGUAUCUCUGUGCCAGCAGUGCAGACACAGUGGAGCACGGCCACCUCCCCUCUGUGCACAAAUGUGUCUGA